rnacentral:lncRNA from 10 species
CAGGCAUCUGCCACCACGGCCGGCUAAUUUUUGUAUUUUUAGUAGAGACGGGGUUUCACCAUGUUGGCCAGGCUGGUCUCAAACUCCUGACCUCAAGUGAUCUGCCCGCCUCGGCCUCCCAAAGUGUGGGAUCACAGGCAUGAGCCACCGCACCGGCCCAGAUACUGGACUAUUUUACAAAUGAGAAAAGUAGUUGUUGCAGCCUGGCGAUCCGUGUCAUCUCUGAUGCUGGGAAGUCCUCCCCUUGGUCUAAGAUCUUCCCCAUGAUCUUCAGCCGUCCUGGACUUGUCCAUACCUGAGAUCCCCACCUCUGCCACCAAGAGAUCAUCGCUGGAAGCCG